CAGCCGCCGCGGUAAUACGAAGGGUGCAAGCGUUACUCGGAAUUACUGGGCGUAAAGCGUGCGUAGGUGGUGGUUUAAGUCCGUUGUGAAAGCCCUGGGCUCAACCUGGGAAUUGCAGUGGAUACUGGGUCACUAGAGUGUGGUAGAGGAUAGUGGAAUUUCCGGUGUAGCAGUGAAAUGCGUAGAGAUCGGAAGGAACAUCUGUGGCGAAGGCGACUACCUGGACUGAUACUGACACUGAGGUGCGAAAGCGUGGGGAGCAAACAGGAUUAGAUACCCCUGUAGUCCCUGUCUCUUAUAC
rnacentral:rRNA from 1 species